AGUGGGGAAUAUUGCGCAAUGGGGGGAACCCUGACGCAGCAACGCCGCGUGAGUGAAGAAGGCCUUCGGGUCGUAAAACUCUGUCUUUGGGGAAGAAAAAAAUGACGGUACCCUAGGAGGAAGCCCCGGCUAACUACGUGCCAGCAGCCGCGGUAAUACGUAGGGGGCGAGCGUUGUCCGGAAUUACUGGGCGUAAAGGGUGCGUAGGCGGCCAUUUAAGUCAGAUGUGAAAUACCAGGGCUCAACCUUGGGGGUGCAUUUGAAACUGGAUGGCUUGAGUGCAGGAGAGGAAAGUGGAAUUCCUAGUGUAGCGGUGAAAUGCGUAGAGAUUAGGAGGAACACCAGUGGCGAAGGCGGCUUUCUGGACUGUAACUGACGCUGAGGCACGAAAGCGUGGGGAGCGAACAGGAUUAGAUACCCUGGUAGUCCACGCCGUAAACGAUGGAUACUAGGUGUAGGGGGUAUCGACCCCCUCUGUGCCGGAGUUAACGCAAUAAGUAUCCCGCCUGGGGAGUACGGUCGCAAGACUG
rnacentral:rRNA from 1 species